rnacentral:other from 1 species
UGAUUUCUGCAUCGUUCGAGAAGUCUCAUUGGUUCUUUUCCUUACUCCUAUUAAACCGGGAAUCUAUCGACAUUCGUUUGCUGUCANGCCGUAAAUCGGAAGACUAAGAANAAUGCGAGGGUACCCACUUAGACCUUGAAGGUCAUAUAACCAGUGAAUGCGAUGCACGGCGUAGGCAGAAGUCAU